CUGCUAUUCAAGCAUGAUGAUGCAAGAGGAUGGUGGUUGAACCAACUUGCAAGUAGCCUACCAAUAAGCACUUUAUUUUUCAAUGUAUUAUGUGUGGAGUCAAUUGAAGGGACUAUGUUUCAUGAUGAAACCAUUAGAAGACUGGUGCUGAGAGGAGUAACCUAACUAUCAGAAGCAGAGGAUCUAUUUUGGUUGCUGCUGACAACUACUGCAAGUUGUUCUUCUACAUCAUAAUAAUUAUAUGUCUGCAUAGCAUUUUGUCUUCAUUUUGGCAGAUUAAUUAAUGCUUA